AUCUAUGGCCAUACCACCCUUAAUGUGGUAUGGCCUGAUCUCGUCUGAUCUCGGAAGCUAAGCAGGGUCAGGCCUGGUUAGUACUUGGAUGGGAGACCAAAUGUGAAUACAAGGUGCUGUAGGCU
rnacentral:rRNA from 1 species